AGAACAAUGUAGGUAAGGGAAGUCGGCAAAAUAGAUCCGUAACUUCGGGAAGAGGAUUGGCUCUAAGGGUUGGGUCGUCGGCUAAGACUUGAAGCCAGUGGACCCGGCCCGGACUGGCCGAGGCCCAUCCGGGUCGAAGCUGGACCCGGGAAGGGGCUGUUGGUGGAUUGGCCCACCUAUGGUCGCGAGGCCAAUUCGGCAGGCAAUGAACAACCAACUUAGAACUGGCAGUGACUAGGGGAAUCCGACUGUUUAAUUAAAACUGCAGGGCGACUUCGACUCGAACGAAGUUACAGGGGUAAUAGACUGUGCUAGCGUCCCGUCUUGGCCCGACUGGUGCCAAUGUGUGUAUGCUAGUGUGCUUUGAAAGUCCACAGUUAUGUAUACAUACU
rnacentral:ncRNA from 1 species